rnacentral:rRNA from 3 species
UCCGUAGGUGAACCUGCGGAUGGAUCAUUA